CUCCCGUCUCUUUCUCUCUCCUCCCUCCUUCUAGUUUAGAGAGAUUUGGGUUUUAAUUUUAGGGUUACUGAUUUGGGUGUUAACCAUCUCUCUUUGUUUCCUUUGCAGGUGCUUAGCUUUUCCAUCUCUCUUGCCCUCUACAGAUGUUGCGCUCACACUGAAGCUUUGAUAGAUAAAGGGUUAGGGUAUCCAUGUGUGUUCAGAUUUGUUCCGCUGGGUAUCCAUGUGAAUCAAAUCGUAAUGCCCGAGUGAGGUUAAUGCUCUGAUUUGUU